rnacentral:rRNA from 1 species
UACGUAGGGUGCAAGCGUUGUCCGGAAUUAUUGGGCGUAAAGAGCUCGUAGGCGGUUUGUCACGUCGGAUGUGAAACCCUGAGGCUCAACCUCAGGCCUGCAUUCGAUACGGGCAGACUAGAAUUCGGCAGGGGAGACUGGAAUUCCUGGUGUAGCGGUGAAAUGCGCAGAUAUCAGGAGGAACACCAAUGGCGAAGGCAGCACUCUGGGACGUGACUGACGCUGAGACGCGAAAGCGUGGGGAGCAAACAGG